AGAUCUUUCGGGAUCUUGAGAGCGGCGUACGGGUGCGGAACACGUGUGCAACCUGCCUUUAUCUGGGGGAUAGCCUUUCGAAAGGAAGAUUAAUACCCCAUAAUAUAUUGAAUGGCAUCAUUUGAUAUUGAAAACUCCGGUGGAUAGAGAUGGGCACGCGCAAGAUUAGAUAGUUGGUGAGGUAACGGCUCACCAAGUCAGCGAUCUUUAGGGGGCCUGAGAGGGUGAUCCCCCACACUGGUACUGAGACACGGACCAGACUCCUACGGGAGGCAGCAGUGAGGAAUAUUGGACAAUGGGUGAGAGCCUGAUCCAGCCAUCCCGCGUGAAGGACGACGGCCCUAUGGGUUGUAAACUUCUUUUGUAUAGGGAUAAACCUACCCUCGUGAGGGUAGCUGAAGGUACUAUACGAAUAAGCACCGGCUAACUCCGUGCCAGCAGCCGCGGUAAUACGGAGGGUGCAAGCGUUAUCCGGAUUUAUUGGGUUUAAAGGGUCCGUAGGCUGAUUUGUAAGUCAGUGGUGAAAUCUCACAGCUUAACUGUGAAACUGCCAUUGAUACUGCAAGUCUUGAGUGUUGUUGAAGUAGCUGGAAUAAGUAGUGUAGCGGUGAAAUGCAUAGAUAUUACUUAGAACACCAAUUGCGAAGGCAGGUUACUAAGCAACAACUGACGCUGAUGGACGAAAGCGUGGGGAGCGAACAGGAUUAGAUACCCUGGUAGUCCACGCCGUAAACGAUGCUAACUCGUUUUUGGGCUUUUGGGUUCAGAGACUAAGCGAAAGUGAUAAGUUAGCCACCUGGGGAGUACGAACGCAAGUUUGAAACUCAAAGGAAUUGACGGGGGCCCGCACAAGCGGUGGAUUAUGUGGUUUAAUUCGAUGAUACGCGAGGAACCUUACCAAGGCUUAAAUGGGAAAUGACAGGCUUAGAAAUAGGCUUUUCUUCGGACAUUUUUCAAGGUGCUGCAUGGUUGUCGUCAGCUCGUGCCGUGAGGUGUUAGGUUAAGUCCUGCAACGAGCGCAACCCCUGUCACUAGUUGCCAUCAUUAAGUUGGGGACUCUAGUGAGACUGCCUACGCAAGUAGAGAGGAAGGUGGGGAUGACGUCAAAUCAUCACGGCCCUUACGCCUUGGGCCACACACGUAAUACAAUGGCCGGUACAGAGGGCAGCUACACUGCGAAGUGAUGCAAAUCUCGAAAGCCGGUCUCAGUUCGGAUUGGAGUCUGCAACUCGACUCUAUGAAGCUGGAAUCGCUAGUAAUCGCGCAUCAGCCAUGGCGCGGUGAAUACGUUCCCGGGCCUUGUACACACCGCCCGUCAAGCCAUGGAAGUCUGGGGUACCUGAAGUCGGUGACC
rnacentral:rRNA from 1 species